rnacentral:rRNA from 1 species
GCAUAUCUAUAAGCGGAGGAAAAGAAACUAACAAGGAUUCCCCUAGUAACUGCGAGUGAAGCGGGAAAAGCUCAAAUUUAAAAUCUGGUGGUCUUUGGCCAUCCGAGUUGUAAUUUAGAGAAGCGUCUUCCGCGCUGGGCCGUGCACAAGUCUCCUGGAAUGGAGCGUCACAGAGGGUGAGAAUCCCGUCUUUGGCAUGGACACACCAGGGCUUUUGUGAUGCGCUCUCGAAGAGUCGAGUUGUUUGGGAAUGCAGCUCAAAAUGGGUGGUGAACUCCAUCUAAAGCUAAAUAUUGGCGAGAGACCGAUAGCGAACAAGUACCGUGAGGGAAAGAUGAAAAGCACUUUGGAAAGAGAGUGAAACAGUACGUGAAAUUGUUGAAAGGGAAACGCUUGAAGUCAGUCGCGUCGACCGAGACUCAGCCUUGCCUUGGCUUGGUGUACUUCUCGGCCGACGGGUCAGCAUCAAUUUUGCCCCUUGGAUAAUGAUGAGGGAAACGUGACACCUUUAUGGUGUGUUAUAGUCUCUUGUCGCAUGCAAGGGUCGGGAUUGAGGAACUCAGCACGCGCCUUUGGGUGUCGGGGCUUUGCCCACGAUACGUGCUUAGGAUGUUGGCGUAAUGGCUUUAAACGACCCGUCUUGAAACAC